GUGAGUCAUCGAAUCUUUGAACGCACAUUGCGCCCCUUGGUAUUCCGGGGGGCAUGCCUGUUCGAGCGUCAUUGCAACCCUCAAGCCUGGCUUGGUAUUGGGCUUCGCCACUAACCUGGCGGGCCUUAAAAUCAGUGGCGGCGCCUCCGAGGCCCUGAGCGCAGUAAAUAUCCUCGCUAUAGGGACCCGGUGGCUACUGGCCAGCAACCCCAACUUUCCAAGUUUGACCUCGGAUCAGGUAGGGAUACCCGCUGAACUUAAGCAUAUCAAUAAGCGGAGGA
rnacentral:misc_RNA from 1 species